AUGCUUGCAUCAGCAGCAUGCAUACUAAAAUUGGGACGACCUAGAGAAGGUUAGCAUGAUCCCCGAACAAGGAUGGCAUGUGAAUUCAUGAAGUGUUCCAUACUGUU